UUGAACGCUGGCGGCAGGCCUAACACCUGCAAGUCGAGCGGAUGAAGGGAGCUUGCUCCUGGAUUCAGCGGCGGACGGGUGAGUAAUGCCUAGGAAUCUGCCUGGUAGUGGGGGAUAACGUCCGGAAACGGGCGCUAAUACCGCAUACGUCCUGAGGGAGAAAGUGGGGGAUCUUCGGACCUCACGCUAUCAGAUGAGCCUAGGUCGGAUUAGCUAGUUGGUGGGGUAAAGGCCUACCAAGGCGACGAUCCGUAACUGGUCUGAGAGGAUGAUCAGUCACACUGGAACUGAGACACGGUCCAGACUCCUACGGGAGGCAGCAGUGGGGAAUAUUGGACAAAGGGCGAAAGCCUGAUCCAGCCAUGCCGCGUGUGUGAAGAAGGUCUUCGGAUUGUAAAGCACUUUAAGUUGGGAGGAAGGGCAGUAAGUUAAUACCUUGCUGUUUUGACGUUACCAACAGAAUAAGCACCAGCUAACUUCGUG
rnacentral:rRNA from 1 species